CGUGCCAGCAGCCGCGGUAAUACGUAGGGUGCGAGCGUUAAUCGGAAUUACUGGGCGUAAAGCGUGCGCAGGCGGUUAUGUAAGACAGAUGUGAAAUCCCCGGGCUCAACCUGGGAACUGCAUUUGUGACUGCAUGGCUAGAGUACGGUAGAGGGGGAUGGAAUUCCGCGUGUAGCAGUGAAAUGCGUAGAUAUGCGGAGGAACACCGAUGGCGAAGGCAAUCCCCUGGACCUGUACUGACGCUCAUGCACGAAAGCGUGGGGAGCAAACAGGAUUAGAUACCCUGGUAGUCCACGCCGUAAACGAUGA
rnacentral:rRNA from 1 species